rnacentral:lncRNA from 13 species
CAAAGGAGAGGUGAAUGCAGGCGGAAAGACGGCUCCUGCAAAAAGGACAAUAUUGAGAGCAAGGAUACAGUUACUGCCCCUCAUUGAAAGAACUGACAUUGAAAACUCACAUUAUAUCAUUAUAUUACAUUAUCAAUUAUGUAAAUGUCAGUUAAAGAAAGUUCAAGUGUGAACUAAAAAUGUAAAUACAUUAAACUAUUUCAUAUAGAGAGGCAUACACUGAAAUACACAGCAAUGCAAAUAAUCUAUAUAUUUUCUAGAUAGGUCUACAGUACUUCGGACAGUGCUAUCUGGGAUCCUUGGGACGUCCCUACCCUAAACCCUAAACCCUAACCUUAGCCCCUACCCUAAUCCUAACCAUAACCCUUACCUAACCCUAAUUUUAAAGCUAACCUUAACCAUUUUAAAUGUAUACUUCAAUGGGGUAAGGACGUACCAAGGAUCCCGGAUAUUUUUUUCUCUCUAUUGCGGCAAAUUUGUCUUGAUUAGCGCCACCUAGCUGCCAGUGACUGACAGCGGCACUGCUAAUGCUGGUGAUGCACAGGCACAGUGCAGCAGUUACCAGAAACAGCUCCCUGGCAAGUAAUGUCGAAUUCCAGCCUCCUCUGGUGGAGUUAAGACCUGCCAUGGUGAACUGACAGUAAGAGAGGAGCUGAAAGAAACCAGCCAGCACUACUCUGCCCUGGGUGAGAGGUUUGAUUUGGGCCGGGGGAAUUGGUGGCCCAGCAGGUCUGCCUGGUCUGCUUGCCUGCCUGCGUAUCCAUCGAUGGAAGUGUCUCUCACCUCAGGCCAGCUAGCGGUUCCUCCUGCCUCCUCCUUUUCGACCUACCGACCGUCAGUCCGCUGAAUGGUAAUUCCCCCUGAUAACCUUGUGGGAGCUGGGAAGGCGGAGUAGGGAGAGAAGGGGGAGAGGGGAGGAAGAGCGAGAAAGGCUCCCGCUCCGUUGGUCUGAGCUUGGUGAGGUGAUCGGUGUGUGGACAGGAGCCAGGCCAAUCUAGCCAUCAAGUGGGCCGUCAGCCGCCCAGCCAACGGGAGACACACUGCUAAUGCACGGCAUCGGUCACCAAGCUGCUGAAACAGCCAUGGGUUGUAAUUAUAUCUCAGAGCAGUGGCCAGGGCAGGGGGCACAGAGGGCAG